rnacentral:rRNA from 1 species
UACAGAGGUCCCAAGCGUUGUUCGGAUUCACUGGGCGUAAAGGGUGCGUAGGCGGUCAUUUAAGUCUGACGUGAAAUCUCCGGGCCUAACCCGGAAGCUGCGUUGGAAACUAUCUGACUAGAGGAAUGGAGGGGAGAUUGGAAUACUUGGUGUAGCAGUGAAAUGCGUAGAUAUCAAGUGGAACACCAGUGGCGAAGGCGAAUCUCUGGACAUUUCCUGACGCUGAGGCACGAAAGCCAGGGGAGCAAACGGG